ACGCAAGCGGUUGUUGCCGGCCCGGCCGUCGGCGGUUGUUGCCGGCACGUCCGUCGCCGCCGGUGAUUGUUUCGCAUCUCGACGCCGCCGACCGCGCGCGAAGCCCCCCCGCAGAUCGACGACCUUGGAAAGGCGCGCCACCGGCUCGGCAUCUUCCCCGCUAGGGUUUAAAAUUACAGAAUAUGGAGAACUCUAUAUCUGGUAUGAUUGAGGAACAAAACGAGUACGUCGGCUAUAAUUCCGAUGACUCUGAAAUGGAGGAAAAUUUGCAGCACGAAGCCGGCUGGAGCGAAGACGAGUUUGAUAUUGCGUACGAUGAAUUUGAUAAUGAUGACAACCAUGGCGAACACACAGACGAUCAAAAUGAUGAGAACCAUGGUGAACACACA